rnacentral:tRNA from 1 species
GAAAGAGGCCCGAAGCAACAAGGACUGCUAAUCCUUCGUCCCUGCAGUUAAACUCCGCAGCUCAUUCA